rnacentral:rRNA from 1 species
AUUGAACGCUGGCGGCAUGCCUUACACAUGCAAGUCGAACGGUAACAGGUCUUCGGAUGCUGACGAGUGGCGAACGGGUGAGUAAUACAUCGGAACGUGCCUAGUAGUGGGGGAUAACUACUCGAAAGAGUGGCUAAUACCGCAUGAGAUCUACGGAUGAAAGCAGGGGAUCGCAAGACCUUGUGCUACUAGAGCGGCCGAUGGCAGAUUAGGUAGUUGGUGGGAUAAAAGCUUACCAAGCCGACGAUCUGUAGCUGGUCUGAGAGGACGAUCAGCCACACGUGCACUGAGACAAGGCCCAGAGUCAUCCAGGAGGCAGGAGUGGGGAAUUUUGGACAAUGGGCGGGAGCCUGAUCCAGCAAUGCCGCGUGCAGGAUGAAGGCCUUCGGGUUGUAAACUGCUUUUGUACGGAACGAAAAGCCCCGGGUUAAUGCCCUGGGGUCAGGACGGUACCGUAAGAAUAAGCACCGGCUAACUACGUGCCAGCCGCCGCAGUAA